rnacentral:lncRNA from 1 species
AAGUAAACUAAAACGUAUGAACAGAUGAGGUGUAAGUUGUGGACUGUCCAAGCAUCUACAAACUGAUCCCUCAGCAACAGCAGGUUGAUUGACUUAUAGCAUGAGUUGCUGUUAGCAGUAUUGGAGAUCAUCACUUUGCAAGACUUUGAGAGGGGGAGUCAGUCAUUUCACAAAAAUUGAAAGAUUUUUGCUAUUUUGACUAUCCAAAAGCAAUAUCUGAUGUUAAGAUGAUAAUUUUGGGUAAGUACCCAAGAUCCAGUAGACCGGAACAGGUUUGGAUCUUAGAUUGUUAUAUUGUGUUUUGUGGAAGAGUGAAAAAUUGCAAUAAUGUCCAAACAAUCAAGAAGAAUCUGGCAAUGGCAUUAAUUCUUAAAGAUGAAGAGGAACAUUGUAUUUCGACCCAGUUAUCCAACACAGGCACAGGACUUCAACAGACUUUCUUCAUCUAAGAACAGAAAGAACUUGAAAAAUGUGUUGCAAGACCUUUAUAUUCAAGUUGCACACCUCUUAUUUGCACUGAAGACACAAUUUGUAUUUCCUUUCUUAAAUUUUCCUUUGGUUGAUGAGUACAUAUUGGUGUAAAGUGUUGUUGAGAAGAUAGUUCAAGCAGAUUCUUUGACACUGAUGUUGGUUAGAUGGACUAAUGUGAAGGAAAACCUCUAAAUCAGUUUGGUUGCACAACUCGUGAACCAGUGUUUGGUUUUUUUUUGUAUCAAAAUCAUCCAAUCAUAAACUGAAACUUUCUAUGUUAAGUUUAUGGCUAAAGUCUUCAAUGAUGCCAUGAAUCAGGAAGAUAAUUUAAAAGCUGCAUGGGAAACAUUUAAAGAAAAAAUAUUGUCUCUUCAUCGUCUAUGGUUGUCUAACUCAUGCCUUGAACCUGUUUACUAAGGACAGUUGCAAAAGUAAAAUUUUGAACAACUACAAACUGUUAAGCAGAUUAGAAAUUUCUGUCAGGAAGAACACAUCCAGUAAAAAAUACCCAAACAUAGUCAACUAGAAAAAGAAGAAAAGAGAUUGCAUUAUUAUGAUUGGUGGAUACUUAUUAAGGAUCAUUUACCAGGUGCUUGAAAAUACAACUUAAACUAUCAAGCAUUUGCAGGUGGCUGUUAUAGACCCACAUGUUAGUCACCAUUCCCUUUCAAACCUCCAAAAAGUAUAUUCUGGAUGAUGAUUUCUAGGUACAAUUUUAGCUUUGUUGCCUCCAAUCUUGCAUGCAAUCAUCAAGAUUGAAAGUGACAACUGUUGCUGUCUCAUGUGGUUCCUGUCUUAAAAAGAUAGGGCAGCACUGUAAAGACCUUUUGUAAUCAUCACACUUGUCAACAAUAAUUAAAAUUACAUCAUUCUUUACUAUCCCAGUAUAAGUUUCCAGAAAGGGAAAUAUAUAUUAGUAUUUCAAAUGUGUUUUGCUCAAUAACUGAGCUCAUCAGGUAACCUGAGUUACAACACACGCAGUUUUAAUUGGAAUGUUAUUUAUGUCAGUUGUUUAUGAGACAACAGGUCUUAUUGUGUAGAAUGUUUUAACUCGUGAUAGAAUGUCACAGUAACAUUUUGUAUGCUAAAACCAACAGUGGAAUAAACAGCUAAAUUGUUAUAAUGCACUAUCAUCCCCACCUCCUCCAAAAUGAUGAUCCUGUACAUUGGCAACAGGAAAAAAAAACAGCAGUGUGGAAUGAUAAUAAGAAGCAAAAUCUGGCAGCUGCUUCUGCAAACACCAGAAGGACUAUAGCCAGGGAAAAUCAGGAAGAAGAAAUUAGUGAUGAUGAAGGAUAGAAAAGUAAAAAGUCAAUAAUAACAAAAAAACUCACAGUGACACUAGAGCUAUGGUCCCUGCAUAUUUUCCACACUAAGCCACUUCAGAUGAUGACCAUAAAGCCAAGGACCAAGUCUGAGCUUGUCAUUCCAUAAGUACAGUUUUCAUUGCUCUUGCAAUAUCUAAUCAUAAUGCCUGCCACAAAUCAGACUUUUGAGGGCUUGAAGUGACUUGUAGACAGUGAAUUUGAGCUGUUAAGUCAUUUAUUUCUGUCGUUGUUGUUCAGAAAUUCUGAAACAAAGUGCUCUUAAAAAUUGAAAAAGCACUCUAACAAAAAUGAAAAUAAAUCUUUAUAGUUAUUUAUGCAUCUGCCUCGUAACUUUAUUUAAGGCAAAGUUACUAAGUGAAGAAGUUACUGGUACUAAAUAGCUGUCUAACACUGACAAUAUUUAUUGCUAGCUACGUGUUAAAUAUUCAUUAAGAAAUCUAAAUAUGAAAACGAAAAAUUGUGGAACAUUUGCUACAAAAUAAUUUCUCCAAAACAUCAACAUAUCUUUUUUGUAACACAUUUGAUAUACUGCUACAAGUAUAAUAUUGUGAGCCCUACUUAGGGUAGACUUUCUGUUGUCUUGAUUCCAUGUCUUAGCUGGGUAUGGUUCAAUAUACUGUGACUGUGUAAGAUUAUAAUGACAGCUUAAAAUUGCCACAUUAUGUUUAUUGCAAGCAUAAAUUGGUUGGGUUACAUUAGGUGUCGUUAGCUCAAGAAUGAGCAUAGGUAGUGGAAUAUACUUGAAUUUCUUGUGUCAGCUGUGACCAUUCAAUUCAAAACUGAAAUAAUGAUAGUCUUACAGAAGUCUCUAUCUUCCAUUUGUGCUUCAACCCCCUCAGUUCUGCCAUCUAUGAAAAUGAGUGCCAGAAUACUAUAAUGAUCAAGGUGGAGAGUUUCCUACUUUAGAUGUAAGCCCAAGCAGUUCUGUUUGUAGAGCAUCAACCUUGGAAUACUGCUUUUGAGCUAAAGGUCUUAAAUUCAACCACAGAUAUGGUAGACUUUUAACAUCCUUGUUUUUUAUAUGAGGGGGGUGAGCAUGGUUGGAAAGGUAGCAAUAAAGUAACCUUAUAGUAUUAUCAAAUAAACAUUUUUUUAAAUUAUCUUCUGGAAUUUCCUACAGCAGUAUAACUCAAUAUAAACAUCACAGUCUUGAACAUUGUGUGUUAUAAUAUUAUGUAUCAUGUUAUACAUAUAACAGUAAUAGCUAAGAAAUGCAACUAAUGUAACACUACUCAACUUCUUUAUAUUUAUUUUGAGAAAACAUGACCUAAUACAUUGUAUGAAUUUACAAUUUGAGGUAAAUUUUGUUUUGGAGUAUCAGAAAAUUACUAUCAAAGUAUGUUUUUGGGACAUCACAACAAGUCCAAUUGUGUAUGUGUGUAUAUAUCUUGAAAGAGUGUAAUAUGAAGACAUGAAAAUUAGCUAGCUUAUAAUCUCAAAUUAUGCCCAUACAACAGUAGUUUGAGUUGGUUGUUAUUGGUAUUAUGUUUCUACUUGAACUUUCUGUGAAAGUUAUUCAUAGUUCAUUAUUAACAAGUUUAUACCAAAAAGAAGCAAGAAUUACAGUUUUAAUGCCCUGAACAAGUAGCUUGUUUCACAAUGGUGCAAGUUCUAAAUAUUUUAUUGUGUGGUGGUAUUAGAAACUAUUGACAUAUUUAUUUGGAUUUGUACUGUUGGAUCACACUUGUUUCAGAAGUAGUAUAAGCUUAUAUUUGUGUAUCUGUGUGUGCGUCUUGUUAUCUGUGAUGAAUAGAUUGUUGUUUUUGAUUUACUGUGAGUGUUUUAAGACUUUACUCCGUAAAGCAACCCUUUAUAUAGAUGUAGUAUUGACAAAUCCAAAUUUUACCAUACGUGUAGCUUUACUGAACAGAAGAAGAACAACCAAAGAAAGAGUCUACUGUCACAUUUGUAACAAAACAUUUGGAAGGAAACAAGAUUUGGAUGCUCAUCUGAGCUUACAUCUGCAUAAAUCGUACAGGAAGAAGUAUUACUGCAGUGUUUGUAACAAAGCAUUCUUAUGGAGGAACAAUAUGUAUGCUCAUAGAAAGAAUGUACAUAAAUUAUCCACAAAAUCGUGUUUUUAGUUGAAAUUGUUUCUCUCUUAAUCCAUUGAACUAUUAGAAAAACUAUAUUCAUGCCAAGACUAAAGUUGAACAAUUAAAAAUAAGAUUCUACAGAUUAUUAGGCUUCUAAAGCUAUAUAUGCGACUAUGUAUGUUGUGUGAUAUUAGCAUUUUGAGAACAAGGACACAAGUUACUUUUGUUAGUACAUAUAUUAAGGUGAGGAUAAUUAGUAAACUAAUUAUGAAAAGCUUAAAAUAAUCCAGAGGUUUGUUGUUUGUAAUUUGAAUAGUAGGUUUUAAGGGGAAAAAAUUGUAUAGUUAGACCUGUAGCCAUUGAUCUGUUACUUUUGCAAAUAGUUAUUUUAUCUUUUGAUGUUUAGUUACUGUCAUAUGUCUGUGUUAGGUAAAAAUUUUUUAGCUUGACAUUGAAACUUAUAUGUUGAUUUAUCAUUAACUUGUUCUUCCCAUUUAACAUUAAACGUGGUACAGAGCCUAAUACUAGUGAUGGUACAAUAUUUGUUCUCUAAAAUAAUGAUCACCCUUGAAAAACCAGUACCAGUAAAAAUUCUUCAUUCAGAUUUAGGGAUAUUUUUAUAGCAGUAUAGUUUUAUCAACAUGUGGGCUGUGUGCAGCCUAGUGGUUAGCAUGCCAUGUAUUAAAUCUGCAGUUCCAUGCAUCACAUUUCAUUAUCACAGCAAAAUUACAACAAUAAUAUGCUCUACAUUUCAGGGUUGUUGGUUUGUUAUAAGAGUGAUGGUUAAAUCUCACUAUUCGGUCUGACCAGAGUUGGCAGUAGGUGGUAUUAACUAGCUGCCUUCCCUUUAGUAUGUCACUUCAAAAUUAGGGAUGGCUAGCAUAGAUAGCCUUUGUGUAGCUUUGCAAGAAAUUUCACAAACAAACGUAUCAGCAUAAUGUGAAUUCAGUAAUGAGUACUGAGACAACUCUCUAGCUUCAGGAAUGUAUGGAUAAAGCAAAGUUUAAUUUGUGAAUAUGAUGUUCAUCUUAUGUGUGUAAAUGACAGGAGUGCAUUACGAUGUACUAUUAAUAGUAGUAUUUUUAUAAUCUUUACAUAUAGGCAGUGAUAGAGCUAGGAUUACAAAAAUUAAAUUGCCAUGAACUAUUUAGAAGUUACAUAAGUCCUUGAUGUCAGGUAUUUAGUUAAAGUUCAACUUAGUAUGAGACUAUCUACGCAACUUAGAAUAAAGGCAUAUUAAUGGAAACUAGCUAGUACUAAUAUGUAAAAUUUAAAAUGUAUCUGCUUAAAAUGAUUAUAAAAGUAUUAAAAUUUCAAUUUAACACAUUAAAUUUAAAAAGACGAUAAAGUUUUAUUUAUAGGGGUGCACACUAAACUUUGGGGGUACCAUGUAUCUUUGUGAUUAUGCCACCACCAUUGUGUUUUAGUCAGAAAUCUAAAUGAACUUCUAAAGAAUGAUUAGUGCAGUUGGAGAAUCAUUGUUAUAUACUAGGCAACUUACUCUGAUGUUUGAUUGAAAUUCUGCUUGAACAGUAAAACUGCAUGUAUGUACAUAACAUUAUCUAUGUUUAGAGUUGUAUAAAAAUGAUAAGUUGAAAAACAUACUUGUAAAUAGGAUUUCAUAUACAAUACUAUACCUCUGAUUGGACAAUAAGUUAAUAUUAAGUACUGUCUUUCUAAGCUUUUUUCCAGUCAUUUCCAGUGAAUCAUUAUGAGAUGUAGCUCAUAAGUUCUCAUUCUUUGAACAAUCAUGAUAAUUUCAGUUCAUCCUUUUGUCUGUAUUAAAUGUCAUUCUUAUAUAAACAACAAUUCUGUCAAGUUGAUUACUCAGUUCUUAUCUUUUGUACUACAAUAUAUUAAACGUAUUGAACGUAGGGUAAUAAAUGUUUAUCAUACGAGAAUACAUUAAUUGAAAAAAAAAUCCAUACUUUCACCAGUUGGAUGGCCUUGUACAUUAUAAAAAUGUAAACACAUAAACAGAAGUUACAGACACACAUAUACACAGGGUGAUUCUGAAGCCUAUUGAUAAGCAGAUGUGUUUCAGAAAUAGAGGUAUUGAAAGAUAAUUGUUAGUGGUAUAGAAUGAAAUGUUGUGGGCCUACCAUGUAACAAUAUCAUUUAAGGUAAUUCAAAAUAAUUUGGUUUGGAAAAGUUAUUAAUAUGAAUUUUAUGUUCAGUAUAUCAAUGGCAAAGGUGUAGGUAAUAACAAAUUAAACACUUUUAAACCAAAAGUUAUUAAAUUCCCUCUUCCUGAGCACAUUAGAUGUAGGCAUAAAAAUAUUCUUUCCAUGCAUGUUUAGUUGUGCCACAGAUUAUCAAAAUCCAACUAUAGUAAAGGUUUAAGUUGCAAAAUCAGACUUUUUAUAAACAGAUUAUUGCAUCUUUCUGAAAGGCUCAGUAGAUUAAAUAUUAUCGAAAUAAAUGCUCUUUACAUAAGGUAGCACACAAACAGUUGUGCUGUAGCUGUUAUGAAAUAAUUUAAGAGUACAGAAUUUAGUUGAAUAAUAGUUUAACAUGGUCCUACUGUAUGUUGUGAGUGUCAACAGAAUGACCAGGAUGCUGCCACAAUGUAUGGUGACCAGUUCCUCAGUGAAUGUCAUCUUACACAUCAGAUGAGAGGAAAUGUGUCUACGUAGCUGCACAUUUCAGGUUCAUUUAUGCAUAGAUGCUGUGUGAGAGGAUGAAGGACAGCAACUAGUUUCAGCAAUGUAGCUGCCAUACUUGCAUUUGUCAUAUUUCAAUAACACUUUGAACACAGCUGUUGGCCAUUUGACACUAUAACUAGUGUUGAUGUGGAUUGAUCUUGGUAAUUUUAUGUUUAAAAUAUUUAAUUUAUUAUGGUCUACAUCUUUAUGAUUGAAAUUUUUAUUUUAUGAUGCAUGUUAAUAAAAGUUUUGAAGAACA